CCUACGGGAGGCAGCAGUGGGGAAUAUUGGACAAUGGGGGGAACCCUGAUCCAGCGACGCCGCGUGAGUGAAGAAGUAUUUCGGUAUGUAAAGCUCUAUCAGCAGGGAAGAAAGAAAUGAGGGUACCUGACUAAGAAGCCCCGGAUAAAUACGUGCCAGCAGCCGCGGUAAUACGUGGGGGGCAAGCGUUAUCCGGAUUUACCGGGGGUAAAGUGAGCGAAGACGGUUACCAAAGUCUGGGUUGAAAGGCGGGGGCCCAACCCCCGGAAGGUUUUGGAAACUGUAUACCGGGAGUGACGGGGAGGUAAGUGGAAUGCUGAGGGUAGCGGUGAGA
rnacentral:rRNA from 1 species